GAUGAACGCUGGCGGCGUGCCUAAUACAUGCAAGUCGAACGCAUAGCGAAAGGUGCUUGCACCUUUCAAGUGAGUGGCGAACGGGUGAGUAACACGCGGACAACCUGCCUCAAGGCUGGGGAUAACAUUUGGAAACAGAUGCUAAUACCGAAUAAAACUUAGUGUCGCAUGACCCAAAGUUAAAAGGCGCUUCGGCGUCACCUAGAGAUGGAUCCGCGGUGCAUUAGUUAGUUGGUGGGGUAAAGGCCUACCAAGACAAUGAUGCAUAGCCGAGUUGAGAGACUGAUCGGCCACAUUGGGACUGAGACACGGCCCAAACUCCUACGGGAGGCUGCAGUAGGGAAUCUUCCACAAUGGGCGAAAGCCUGAUGGAGCAACGCCGCGUGUGUGAUGAAGGCUUUCGGGUCGUAAAGCACUGUUGUAUGGGAAGAACAGCUAGAAUAGGAAAUGAUUUUAGUUUGACGGUACCAAACCAGAAAGGGACGGCUAAAUACGUG
rnacentral:rRNA from 1 species